UACGUAGGGACCAAGCGUUGUCCGGAAUCAUUGGGCGUAAAGAGCGUGUAGGCGGCUUGUUAAGUCUUGCGUGAAAUCUCAAGGCUCAACCUUGAGCUUGCAGUGGGUACGGGCAGACUAGAGUGUGGUAGGGGAGACUGGAAUUCCUGGUGUAGCGGUGAAAUGCGCAGAUAUCAGGAGGAACACCGGUGGCGAAGGCGGGUCUCUGGGCCGAUAUUGACGCUGAGGAGCGAAAGCGUGGGGAGCAAACAGG
rnacentral:rRNA from 1 species